GAAUAUUGCACAAUGGACGGAAGUCUGAUGCAGCGACGCCGCGUGGACGAAGAAGGCCUUCGGGUUGUAAAGUCCUUUUCAGGGGGAAGAGAGAGGACGGUACCCUUGGAAUAAGCGUCGGCUAACUACGUGCCAGCAGCCGCGGUAAGACGUAGGACGCGAGCGUUAUCCGGAUUUACUGGGCGUAAAGCGUCUGUAGGCGGGACAGUAAGUUGGGCGUGAAAGCUUCGGGCUUAACCCGGAGAGGACGUACAAGACUGCUGAACUAGAGGCCACCAGAGGGGCGUGGAAUGUCCGGUGUAGCGGUAAAAUGCGCAGAUAUCGGAAGGAACACCAGUGGCGAAGGCGGCGCCCUGGGGUGGGCCUGACGCUAAGAGACGAAAGCUAGGGGAGCGAACAG
rnacentral:rRNA from 1 species